GCUGGGCAUGGUGGUGCGUGCCUGUAAUCCCAGCUACUCAGGAGGCUGAGGCAGGAGAAUUGCUUGAACCAGGUAGUUGGAGGUUGCAGUGAGCCAAGAUCGUGCCACUGAACUCCAGCCUGGUGAUAGAGCAAGACUCUGUCUCAA
rnacentral:SRP_RNA from 1 species